AGGACGAACGCUGGCGGCGUGCUUAACACAUGCAAGUCGAGCGGAAAGGCCCUUCGGGGUACUCGAGCGGCGAACGGGUGAGUAACACGUGAGCAACCUGCCCUUAGCUUCGGGAUAGCUCCGGGAAACCGGAAUUAAUACCGAAUAUGACUUUGGCUGACAUCAGCAGAAGUGGAAAGUUUUUCGGCUAGGGAUGGACUCGCGGCCUAUCAGCUAGUUGGUGAGGUAACGGCCCACCAAGGCGACGACGGGUAGCCGGCCUGAGAGGGCGACCGGCCACACUGGGACUGAGACACGGCCCAGACUCCUACGGGAGGCAGCAGUGGGGAAUAUUGCGCAAUGGGCGAAAGCCUGACGCAGCGACGCCGCGUGGGGGAUGAAUGCCUUCGGUUGUAAACCCUUCAGCAGGACGAAGCGAAAGUGACGGUACCUGCAGGAAGAAGCGCCGGCUAACUACGUGCCAGCAGCCGC
rnacentral:rRNA from 1 species